CUACGGGAGGCAGCAGUCGAGGAAAUUUUACAAUGCUCGAAAGAGUGAUAAAAUAAGCCAGAGUGUUUCUCCUAGAGAAACUUUUAUCUGUUGUAAAAAGACAGAUGAAUAAGGACUGGGCAAGACCGGGUGCCAGCCGCCGCGGUAAUACCGGCGGUCCAAGUUGCAUCCACAUUUAUUGGGUCUAAAACAUUCGUAGCUUGUUUUACAAGUCUCUUGUGAAAUCCUAUAUCUCAAGUAUAGGGCGUGCAAGAGAUACUGUAUUACUAGAGACCGGAAGACGCAAAAAGUAUGGUUGAGGUAGCGGUAAAAUGUGUUAAUCUCAAUUAGACUAACAAUGGCGAAGGCAUUUUGCGAGUACGGAUCUGACAGUGAGGGAUGAAGGCUAGGGGCGCAAAACGGAUUAGAUACCCGAGUAGUC
rnacentral:rRNA from 1 species